GGCAUCCUUUUGCUUGUCGACGUCGUAUUUCUCGUACUUCUUGCAUAUUACAUCUACUCUUGUUAUCAAAUCGAUUACUCCCAUCUAUACCUGUAGAAACUUUGACUUGAUUCUACAGAUCGAUUGUGAUCGUAUAUCCGUAGAUAAUGGAGUUGAGAGUGAGGACAAAGCCGGCGAUUUGGCGGAGGAGCGGGAGGAAACCGACGGAAAGAGCAAAGUACAAGUU